GCCCUGCUAGCUCAGUGGUAGAGCGUCGCACUCGUAUGUUUCUUGUCAAACUCGCUUGUACGUGUCUUGUCAAACUGCCUAUGAUGCGAAGGUCAGUCGUUCAAGUCGGCUGUGGGGCA